UGGGGAAUAUUGCACAAUGGGGGAAACCCUGAUGCAGCGACGCCGCGUGAGCGAAGAAGGUUUUCGAAUCGUAAAGCUCUCUCCUAUGGGAAGAUAAUGACGGUACCAUCGGAGGAAGCCCCGGCUAACUACGUGCCAGCAGCCGCGGUAAUACGUAGGGGGCAAGCGUUGCCCGGAAUCACUGGGCGUAAAGGGUUCGCAGGCGGAAAUGCAAGUCAGUUGUGAAAGUCAGAGGCUCAACCUCUGUAAGCAAUUGAAACUGUAUUUCUUGAGAUGUGGAGACGCAAGUGGAAUUCCUAGUGUAGCGGUGAAAUGCGUAGAUAUUAGGAAGAAUACCGGUGGCGAAGGCGACUUGCUGGACACAAACUGACGCUGAGGAACGAAAGCGUGGGUAGCAAACAGG
rnacentral:rRNA from 1 species